UACGUAGGGGGCUAGCGUUGUCCGGAUUUAUUGGGCGUAAAGAGCGUGUAGGCGGCCAUGUAGGUCCGGUGUGAAAACUCGAGGCUUAACCUCGAGAUGUCAUCGGAAACCAUUUGGCUAGAGUCCGGAAGAGGCGGGUGGAAUUCCUGGUGUAGCGGUGGAAUGCGCAGAUAUCAGGAGGAACACCAACGGCGAAGGCAGCCCGCUGGGACGGUACUGACGCUAAGGCGCGAAAGCGUGGGGAGCGAACAGG
rnacentral:rRNA from 1 species